CAACGGUCCGUCACAUUUAGUGGCAGCGGUGGGAUGGCGUCCUAGUGCGAGGACCAGCAGCUCGGAGACACCGGUAACGUGUGGAGUUACGGAUUUAUAAUUGAGGGCAACGCUAGCCUCUGCGCAGCGUCCCUACCUACAGCAACAUGGAGCUAGCUAGACCCUGGACAGCAGCCAGUGAAUUGCAAAUCCGCCUGUCACAGUGCUAUGAGGGUGCUGAUUUCAUGAAGGAAGUAAAGGCGCGGCUGGUCUGGUUUGGCCCAAACCCUUCAGAUGAGGUGGUCCAUCAAGUGAUGCGCAUGUUGAGUGCUGAG